UUGAUGCAUAUGCCGAAGCGCGGCGUGGGCAGGGGCUGCGCGGCGUGCCGCCCCCCGCCCGGGCCGCCGCGACGGCGGGAGGCGCUGCGCUCCGGGCCGCUGCGGCGCGGCCGCCCUGGCUCGUCCCCGGGCACCUGCGGGAGCCGCGCUCGCCCGCGCCAGGCGGGCCGGUUCCUGCACCCCCGCCUUUCUGCUGAGCAGCUGGUGACUGCUGGCUCGGGGCACGGGUGCUAAUUGCGUUAUCUUGUGCGAAAGAGGGGAGCUUCUCUCGGCUUUGGUAGCUUCGAGCAAAUCCUUUCGGCUCUCGGAGCUGUACAGAUGAAACUGCUUAGUGGAUGGACGCUGAAAACAUAAACCCCAGCAAAGUAUCACUUCUGCCUAGAUGCUCACGCAUUGCAGUAGGACACAGAGGAUUAGGGCUCUGAUCAGCUCCCAGACCUAGCAGCUCAUCUGGCUACACUAGUGCUGUUCUGGCACAAGGGAGAAGUUGAGACCAUCCUUUUCAGGGGCAACUUCAAGUUAAGUUGAAUGACUUCCUUGUGGAGCCACAAGUCUUCUUGUGCAUCAAGGGAAAAUAUAGGAUCAGAAGUAUUUUGUCAUUAACAAAAUAAAAAGAAGA